rnacentral:rRNA from 1 species
AUAGCGUAUAUUAAAGUUGUUGCGUUUAAAAAGCUCGUAGUUGGAUCUGCGGCCUAGGAUGGCGGUCCCCCAAUGGGUGGUCACUGCUUUUCCUGGCCUAAUAUCUCCGGUUUUCCCUUGAGGCUCUUUACUGAGUCGCUUGGGUGGCUGGAAAAUUUACUUUGAAAAAAUUAGAGUGCUUAAAGCAGGCGCAUGCCUGAAUAGUGGUGCAUGGAAUAAUGGAAUAGGACCUCGGUUCUAUUUUGUUGGUUUUCGGAGCUCGAGGUAAUGAUUAAGAGGGACAGACGGGGGCAUUAGUAUUGCGACGUUAGAGGUGAAAUUCUUGGAUCGUCGCAAGACUAACUACUG